GUGGCUAUAGCUCAGUUGGUAGAGCUCCUGCUUGUGGUGCAGGCGGUCGCCGGUUCGAACCCGGUUAGCCACCCCA
rnacentral:tRNA from 1 species